UGCUCGCAUACCUCGUAUCCAUUUUUCUUCCGAACGAUAAUAGCGCAUGCUGUUUCACGGCUUAUAUAAGCCAAGGCAAUAAUACAAAUGAGGCGGAGCAGUGGUUUCUGAGAGUUAGUUCAUCUCUUUGUGAGCUCGAAUUUAGAUGGCUGAAAUCCUUACAGUCUCUCCCUUCCUCACUUGAGCAACUAUCUAUUUAUUGUGGCGUUCGUAUGCUUCUGGAAUUGCCGAACCUUCCUCCCUUUUGAAACGUCUAGCAAUAAUUGGGGAUUGUCAUCCAGAGUUGAAGGAGUGCUAUGGACAGGAUGGAGGCUCCGAUCGGCACAUGAUUGCUCACAUUCCGAGUAUCAAUAUAUAAGCAAUCUUAUUUGUUUUUUUUUUUUGGAACAUUUAAGUCAUUUAAGGCAAACUCACACACACAACGCAUACACAUACUCACAUUCCGAGUAUCAAUAUAUAAGCAAUCUUAUUUGUUUUUUUUUUUUUUUUGGGACAUUUAGGCCAUUUAAGACAAACUCACACACACAACGCAUACACAUAGACUCGAACCCCGAACCUCUUAGUUGGAAGCCUAAGCUCUCAACCAAUAGGCCAAGGAGAGUUGUGUAAUCUUAUUUGUUUGAUAUAUAUGAAAUGUGAAGAAUGCAUAAUAUUUUAGCA